rnacentral:rRNA from 1 species
GACAGAGGGUGCAAACGUUGUUCGGAAUUACUGGGCGUAAAGCGUGCGCAGGCGGUUUUGUAAGUCUGUCGUGAAAUCCCCGGGCUCAACCUGGGAAUUGCGAUGGAGACUGCAAGGCUAGAAUCUGGCAGAGGGGGGUAGAAUUCCACGUGUGAGCAGUGAAAUGCGUAGAGAUGUGGAGGAACACCGAUGGCGAAGGCAGCCCCCUGGGUCAAGAUUGACGCUCAUGCACGAAAGCGUGGGGAGCGAACAGG